ACGAACGCUGGCGGCGUGCCUAUACAUGCAAGUCGAACGGUCUUUCUAUGGAAGCUUGCUUCCACUGAGAAGAUAGUGGCGGACGGGUGAGUAACAACGUGGGUAACCUGCCCAUAAGAGGGGGAGUAACAUCCGGAAACGGGUGCUAAUACCGCAUAGUUUUCUUGAUCGCAUGAUUGAGAAAGGAAAGACGGCCUUUGUGCUGUCGCUUAUGGAUGGACCCGCGGCGUAUUAGUUAGUUGGUGAGGUAAUGGCUCACCAAGACGAUGAUACGUAGCCGACCUGAGAGGGUGAUCGGCCACAUUGGGACUGAGACACGGCCCAAACUCCUACGGGAGGCAGCAGUAGGGAAUCUUCCGCAAUGGACGAAAGUCUGACGGAGCAACGCCGCGUGAGUGAAGAAAGGUUUUCGGAUCGUAAAACUCUGUUGUCAGAGAAGAACAAGUCGGAGAGUAACUGCUCCAGCCUUGACGGUAUCUGACCAGAAAGCCACGGCUAACUACGUGCCAGCCGCGGC
rnacentral:rRNA from 1 species